rnacentral:sRNA from 15 species
AAUACAGGUGAGUAGCAGACUGGAGUGGAGACGACGGAAAAACAGGUAAUAAAAGAGAUACUACACUGGAACAAAGACGAGACAAUACAGCUACAGGGAAGACUAGAAGCAUCGGCCGGCAUAGCAAAACACAAUGCUUGUAAAGACAUUGCGUUGCAUACCGGCCGACCCCGUCGUCCCCCCUGGUCGUCGAAAUUGGCGUCUUCCAGAGUCGUCAGAGGUAGCUGCAAUUAGCACCUCGUCGUCGUUGUGGCUGUGGCUGCCCUCUUGGAAAACCAGUGGCACUGGUCCGGCCACCAGCUGGGAGCCAGGAGUAGACGGCACACAUAGUACUGUGGCGACACGGGUCCGGCCGCCAAAGUGAAAUGGAUGUGAGUGUGUGUGUGCGUCGGCAAUUGUGGCCCUAAUGUAGAGCAAGUGGCACUGUUCCGGCCACCAGCUGUGGGCAAUGGUGGACAAUGACACACAUAACUCGAACGGCACAGGUCCGGCCGCCCAAGUGUAGUGGAUGUUUGUGUGUGUGUGUAUCUGAAUGGCUGGCGGACCAUAGGGCACUCUGAAUGCCAUGGCACUGGAUCUGGCCACCAGCUAAGGACGAUGGCGAUGGCAUAACUCGAACGGCACAGGUCCGGCCGCCCAAGUGUAGUGGAUGUUUGUGUGUGUGUUGAUGUUUUAUUUGAUUGAUUUGAUGGCGGCAGCGUCCGUUGUUAAUUUUUGUUGUGGCAUGCGAUUGAUAUGCAUUUGUCUUUUAAUCCGUUGCAGUGGCAGAGAUGUGUCCAGUUAGUACACAGCGUUCCAGGAUAUCUGGUUGUCAAGAAGGUACCUCAUGUUGCGGGCGUAGGCCUUAAUGCCAUCCAUGGAGUCGUCAUCUGUCCACAUCUCAUCGUCAUCAUUUUCAUCAUCCG